rnacentral:piRNA from 1 species
UGAAGAACACGCCCCUGACCCUU